UACGUAGGGUGCAAGCGUUAUCCGGAAUUAUUGGGCGUAAAGAGCUCGUAGGCGGUUUGUCGCGUCUGCUGUGAAAACUGGGGGCUCAACCCCCAGCCUGCAGUGGGUACGGGCAGACUAGAGUGCGGUAGGGGAGAUUGGAAUUCCUGGUGUAGCGGUGGAAUGCGCAGAUAUCAGGAGGAACACCGAUGGCGAAGGCAGAUCUCUGGGACCGUAACUGACGCUGAGAAGCGAAAGCAUGGGGAGCAAACAGG
rnacentral:rRNA from 1 species